rnacentral:tRNA from 1 species
GGAGGGAUGGUGUCAAUGGUCAACAUCGCGCUCUCCAAAAGCGCGGCUCCAGGUUCGAGUCCUGGUCCCUCUGCCA